AUCUAUAGCUCAGUGGUAGAGCGUUCGAUUGCAGUCUCUAUUUUAUUGAUGUUGCCAUAAAAUCAGGAAUCGUAAAUUCGAAAUCCUUUUG
rnacentral:tRNA from 14 species